GAUGAACGCUGGCGGCGUGCUUAACACAUGCAAGUCGAACGGUGAAGGCGGAGCUUGCUCUGCUGGAUCAGUGGCGAACGGGUGAGUAACACGUGAGCAAUCUGCCCCUGACUCUGGGAUAAGCGCUGGAAACGGCGUCUAAUACUGGAUACGAGCUGCGAAGGCAUCUUCAGCAGCUGGAAAGAAUUUCGGUCAGGGAUGAGCUCGCGGCCUAUCAGCUUGUUGGUGAGGUAAUGGCUCACCAAGGCGUCGACGGGUAGCCGGCCUGAGAGGGUGACCGGCUACACUGGGACUGAGACACGGCCCAGACUCCUACGGGAGGCAGCAGUGGGGAAUAUUGCACAAUGGGCGAAAGCCUGAUGCAGCAACGCCGCGUGAGGGACGACGGCCUUCGGGUUGUAAACCUCUUUUAGCAGGGAAGAAGCGAAAGUGACGGUACCUGCAGAAAAAGCGCCGGCUAACUACGUG
rnacentral:rRNA from 1 species